UGGCACCGGCGCACGGGUGCGUAACGCGUAUGCAACCUACCUGUAACAGGGGGAUAACACUGGAGAAAUCGGUACUAAUACCGCAUAACACUAUGAGAGGCAUCUCUUGUGGUUGAAAGUUUCGGCGGUUACAGAUGGGCAUGCGUUGUAUUAGCUGGUUGGUAAGGUAACGGCUUACCAAGGCGACGAUACAUAGGGGGACUGAGAGGUUAACCCCCCACAUUGGUACUGAGACACGGACCAAACUCCUACGGAAGGCAGCAG
rnacentral:rRNA from 1 species